GACAGAGGGUGCAAACGUUGUUCGGAAUUACUGGGCGUAAAGCGCGUGUAGGCGGCUUGGCAAGUCGGGUGUGAAAGCCCUGGGCUCAACCCAGGAAGUGCACUCGAAACUGCUUCGCUCGAGUAUCGGAGAGGAAAGCGGAAUUCUCGGUGUAGAGGUGAAAUUCGUAGAUAUCGAGAGGAACACCGGUGGCGAAGGCGGCUUUCUUGACGAUUACUGACGCUGAGACGCGAAAGCGUGGGGAGCAAACAGG
rnacentral:rRNA from 1 species